AAUCAACGCUGGCGGCGUGCCUCAGACAUGCAAGUCGAACGCGAAAGUUCCCUUCGGGGGAGUAAGUAGUGUGGCGUCCGGGUGAGUAACACGUAGGUAAUCUACCUUUGGGUGGGGAAGUAACAACCGGAAACGGUUGCUAAUACCGCAUAAUGCAGCGGCACCACAUGGUGACAGUUGUUAAAGCGGGGGAGUCGCAAGACCUCGCGCCUAAAGAGGAGCCUGCGGCGGAUUAGCUAGUUGGAGGGUAACGGCCUACCAAGGCAACGAUCCGUAGCCGGCCCUGAGAGGGCGGUCGGCCACACUGACACUGAAAUACGGGUCAGACUCCUACGGGA
rnacentral:rRNA from 1 species